UACGUAGGGGGGCGAGCGUUAUCCGGAUUUACUGGGCGUAAAGCGCGUUAAGGCGGUCGGCAAAGUUGGUUGUGAAAUUUCAGGGCUCAACCCUGAAACUGCGUCCAAUACUGGUCGACUUGAGUGCGAGAGAGGAAGGUGGAAUUCCCCGGUGUAGUAGUGAAAUGCGUAGAUAUCAGGAGGAACACCGGUGGCGAAGGCGGGUCUCUGGGCAGUAACUGACGCUGAGGAGCGAAAGCGUGGGGAGCGAACAGG
rnacentral:rRNA from 1 species